rnacentral:rRNA from 1 species
ACUCCUACGGGAGGCAGCAGUGAGGAAUAUUGCGCAAUGGGGGCAACCCUGACGCAGCGACGCCGCGUGGAUGAUGAAGGCCUUCGGGUCGUAAAAUCCUGUCAGAUGGAAAGAAAUGUUAUAUGGAUAAUAGCUGUAUAGCUUGACGGUACCAUCAAAGGAAGCACCGGCUAACUCCGUGCCAGCAGCCGCGGUAAUACGGAGGGUGCAAGCGUUGUUCGGAAUUACUGGGCGUAAAGCGCGCGUAGGUGGUCUGUUAUGUCAAAUGUGAAAGUCCACGGCUCAACCGUGGAAGUGCAUUUGAAACUGGCAGACUUGAGUACUGGAGGGGGUAGUGGAAUUCCCGGUGUANAGGUGAAAUUCGUAAAUAUCGGGAGGAAUACCGGUGGCNAAGGCGACUACCUGNCCANAUACUGACACUGAGGUGCNAAAGC